CCUUGGCAUCGAGUCCUCCAGCUCCACCAACCGGUGCUCCUGCUCCAAGUUUGGGUGCUUCUUCUCCUGGACCCGUGGGAACCGAUACGAGCGGAGCGGAGAAGAUGUGGUCAUUGCAGAAGGUGGUCGUGAGCGUGGCCCUUGGAUCAGCUUUCUGGUUGCUGCUCUAGACAUGUCAUCUCUUUGUCUCAGUUCUUCGUCUUCCUCCUCCUAUUGUUGUUAUUAUUAUUAUUAUUAUUAUUUCCAGCGGUCGUCGUCUACAUAUAUUAUUUUGCUGCCAUUUUAGCCCCUGCACGGUGAUGAGCCAUUUAAUCACCUGUGCUGAGCUACAUGUUACACAUUCGGUUGGAUUCUUUGGGUAGAUUUUUUGAGGGAAGCUUUUGCAUCGGAGGGGAGUUAUUUUGUAUCUGGGAUCGUUGGUAGUCUCCUCCUUCACUCAUUUAAAUUUCCCUAAUUAGUAUUCGCCUAUUCAUUUAUUUUUCAUUUC